UCUGUACAAAUGGAGCUUCCAGAGGGGCAGUAAUUUUUCCUGAUUGGAUUUUGUACUGACAUAUGAAAUGAAUAAACAUUUUAGUUUCUGAAUUAGAGUGUAUCAAAUUCCAUUAUAUUAUCAAUAAAAUGAAAGAAGCUGUAAAUUUAGUGUAAAGCCUCAGGGGGAAAAAUUCAAAUCACCAUGAAAAGCUGCAUACUGACAAUCUCUCUGAGCUAAAAGCUUCCCCCACUAAACACACACACACACACACACACACACACACACACACACACCCUAGAUAUCUAGCUCUAUCUGUUAUACAAUCUGUACCUGCACAUCCAUUUUAGAACAUUUUGCUGCUCCUUGUAUUAAAGUGUCAUGACAAUCAGUCCCUGGAUUCUUCUCUUUUUGUCUGGCCACACUAACUACACUCAUCCCCACUUCCCACCGAAGUACCACCUCACCUCUCCUUCCUCCUCUUCACCCCAGUAAUUCCAACACCCUUCAACUUGAUCCUGCUUCUUAUACAUUAGUUUUUCCCCCAUUCUUUCACCAAUAAAUUUUUUCCUUAUGGAAGUAUACUAUGUUUACCACAACAUUUCAAACUAGGAUAGUCUCUCAAACUUAAUGUUACCUGGGCAUGAUGGGGCACUAGUCUCUACUUGGUUCAUUUUGGAGGUUCUUACUCAUCUUGAAGAGACCAGAGAUGACUCUCACUAACCCCAUAUGACCCGUCUUUGUGAUUUAUGUGGUACGAGAUGAGCAAAGGUGAUAUCCUUCAUUUUCAUUGUUUUCUGAAUAACCACUGGAGACAAUCAGUCAGUCUUUCCUUUCUUGCUGUUUUAUAGAUUUUAUUUUUCAUUUUGAAUCUUGACUGUGGAUAAUGACAAUACCUGCCACACCAUAAAGUUGACAAAACCUUUCCACUGACCCUGGGUAGUCAUGAGCAUCAAAUGACACACGAGAGAAAGAAUUCUGCUAACAGUUCCAUAAACAUGCCAGGGAUUUUUCUAAUCUUAACUUGAGUCAUGUUCAAUGUUUUCAUGACCAGCUCUCAGAUUUAAGUUGCCUUAGGAGAUAUGAUUGACAGGUCACACAAAUGAGAUGUGAAAAAGCUGGUGUCCUGGAGCAGGCUAAGUUAGCUGAUAGCAAAAGUUACAGACCCAUUUUUCCAUAGUAUAUUCAUUUAACUGUAAUGAUUUUGCUUAGGGGAGUGAAUACUAACUUCAGGUGCCCUAGGCCAUAAAAAGGCUCCAGCAAUCAACAACUUAUGAAUUUAUGAAUCUCAAGCUGAAUUUCUGUAAUUUGUCAAAAAUCUCCUUGCCUAUUGACCAUACUGUAAAGCAUGCACAUAAAUGUCAAGAUUAUAAAGCUGUUCUGAAGUCCCCACUGUCCCCAGGCUGUUCUGAAGUCCCCACUGUCCCCAGGCUGUUGUUCUGAAGUCCCCACUGUCUCCCCGCCCACAUACAAACCUUGGAGUUGAAUAAGCUCUCUCCACUCUGCCCCUUGGUGACCACAGAAUUUUGUUUAUGGUUUGUUAAAUCAGAAGCCUUCUCUCCUGAGUAUCUUCUACUGCUAUUAGUACAAGCUGUGUAUGUUUGCAGAGGUGACAACACUGAAUUAUACAGCCAUCUAAUGCACUUCCUCCAGUAUCAAAGACCACUCGUCAAUAUGCUGUGAAUGAAGACUCCUUGGGAAUAUCACUUGGCCACCAAGGGAGUCACAUACUUCUGACUUAAUUUUUCUACAAGAAAAGCCCUUAACAUCUUACUUGGCAAUCAAACAUGUAGUACUCUUGACCUGAAACCUGUUUCCCAGCUUCAGUCAGUGUCCUGCUUAAAUCCAGGCCAAGAAAGGCCUUCCCAGGCCAUGGAACUUAGAUGCCCUACACCCCAGCCAACCUUGACUAAAAAGGGAAGAAAGUUCCUUGUUCUUUCAAUCUCAUCCAUUCUCAUUUCUGCUCAGAAACACUCUUCCUGUCCUUCAGGAAUAAUGUGUUAUUUCUUUGUCUGCAUAUCAAUGUCAUUCAACAUAGAAAUUUCAUUAUUUUCCCUCCUACUAGUGUAGUAACUGUUGCCAGGUCUGUUUCAGGAACAGAUUUUUAUUCAUUUUUUUUGCAUUACCAAUGCUAAACAGAAAAAGUAAACUUACUUCAACUUAUGGGCCACCUGUCAUGGUUGGAGAGGACCUUCCUGGAGCACCGAGGUGGAAGGAUCUUUCUUUUUUUUAAAACCUAAAUCCAAGCUUGGCAGAGAAGAGUGCUGUGAUUGAUUAGUUAUGUCUGUGUUGGGAGCAGGAGGGACGACUUGAGAUGUGAGUGCCAUAUGUGCAUCCUUCUUAGAGUGGUGUGCAAUGAGUAAUGCCUGUUGCAUGAAAUGGGUUUGCUUUCUGCUUUAAAGUAAAUAAGCAUCUAGAAUUAACAGACGAGACUGGGACAGAUCAUAAAUAUUUAUGCUGGUUCUUCUCUUUCAAUUCUUUCCUGAAAAGAAAUCUUCAGUCAUUAAACCUUCUUCCACAAUAUUUAUUAUACCAAAGCGGAUCUCUUUUCCUCCUCUACCUUCAGUGAUCAUGAAACAAUUCUUAAGAACUAUACAUUCAAGUAGCAAGUAAGAAUUCUUUCUCUUCUUAAAAAGAUCACUAAAGCCUUUUUUCCUUCAGUGUAUUUUAUCAAUCAAUACAUUGACAAUAUUCACAGUACCACUAUCUGUCACCAAAUUAAAUAUACAAGCUAAUGUAGGUCAAUUAAGAUCAGGCAUCUUGCAAUAAGAGAGAUCACCUGGCAUUUUAUAAGUCUCAGAGAUACUUUACUUGGUUGCUUUUAAUUGGCAGGUCACUAUGCAGCUGUGUGAUUCUGGAGGCCCACCUAGUCAAUUUCAAGAAUGCAAGGGCUUUCUUUUCGGGGAAUGCCUCAGUGUUAUGUUUGUAACUUAUUGGGCUUUGUUACAAUAUCACUCCAGAUGACCCAUUCUGAAAUCACUUGGACAUUAUUAACUUCUCAUUGAAUUGCUUCAGAUAAACUGUGACCAUCUUAGACACAAUAUCAACCCUCUUUUCCAUGAGGUUAGCAUUUGCAAAUGUUCCCACCUAAUCAAUUUCUUUUUUAAAAUGGACUGAAAAGGAGCUGGAACGAGGAUGAUUCUGAGAGAGAGGGGACGAAAACAUACAAACUCUGUGGAGCAAUGAAAACACUCCCUAGCCUGGCUUCAUGUGCUAGCUCCUGUUUUCACUAACUUCAUGUGGGUCUAGGAUGGAAAUGAUGCUGCAGCACCCAAUAACUCUAGUGGGUCAUCCAUCCAGGGCAUCAGAUAGGCAUGAGGCUCAGUAACAGCCUACUGCUUUCCAUAAACCAUGUUGUGACUAGAUGCAAAAAAGACAAGGUAGUAAGAUACAGACAGGAUAAGUAAGAGUCUUAACAGGGACACAUGCCCAAUACACCUUUUCCAAAGGUGCACAGACAUUACCACUUGUAUGAAACGAAGUGUCCUGCAGCUAGUUAGUAAGUACUAGGCUCUUAUAUUCUUGCUAUCGAAAUAAAAAUCUAGUUUAAUUUUGUUAUUGGGUGGCCCAUAAUAUGUCUUAGAGUCCUAAGCCACCCCUGCUUCAGCACCUGGGCCUCAAGUCUCAAAGUGUAGAUUGGUAAAAAAAAUGAUCCAUGAUUUGGAGGUAUCCAGAGCUGGAUGUAAAUCCUGGCUCUGUUCACCACUGGCUAUGAGAAUAUGAAGAAAUUCUUUUACUUCAUUUAAAGUCUACUAACUUUCUCAUUAUGAAAAAAGAAUAAGGAUAAGACAGAGUUAUGGGGAAUAGACACUAUCUAAAUAAAUGGCAAUUCUAAUCCAAAUUCAAGCAUAGCUACUUUAUUACUGUGCUUACCACUACAGAUGUAUUUUUCAUCUCCUGGAACAUGAGUGGGAUACACUAUAUAAUUUUGGUUCCAUCUGUUUCUGUUUUCUCUUUGCUUGUUUGUUUUGUAUUAUGUCCCACUAAUUGCUCUUUGUUUUUUUGUUUUUUGUUUUUUGUUUUUCUUGCCAGAGACUGAGACUUCUUGUGCUUCUUUCUCAUCCCAACACUCUUGUUUCUCUUGAAUUGUUAGGGUUUGGAUAGAAAGUUCUCCCUGCAGCGGAUGCACUGAAGGCUUGGUACCCAGCUGCUGGUACUGUUCUGGUAGAUGAUUCAGACUUUAGGGAGUGGAUCAUGUAUGAAAGAUGUAGGUGCCUGGAGACUUACAGGGAUGCAACUGGUCUCUGUCCACCCUCGCCAUGCCUGACCAACCUGAGGUGGGCAGCUACACUCCAAUAUGCCAUGAGGUUUGGUCUCAUCUCAGGCUCGAUGUAAUGUAACCAGGUGUCGAAGAAUGCAAAUCUCUGAAAUGAUAAGCCAAAUGGAAUCUUUCACCCCUAAACCUGUUUUACGAGCAUAUAUUGGCAAGGCAGGGAGAGAGACUAGCACAGGAACUGAAGCUAAGUGCUCCUCACUCUGCUAGCACUAGUGCUCACUCUUCUAAGUUCUACUUCUGAGUUUCCUCUUUAUGUCGAAUGGAUAAAACCUACCCAUGGAGAUGUAUGGUUAUAUAAAUAUAUGAAUAGAUAGAUAAGCAGAUAUCCAAGCAUGGAUAUAUUAAUUUCCCGGAGCUUUUGUCUAUCUUUUUGUCUAUCCCUUUGUAGGAGUAUACUAGGAAUUUCCUAGGGCCAUACUGGGGAUUAAGUAAAUUGGUAUUUGCAGAUUCCCUAGCCCAGUGGCUGACACACAACUACUCAAUAAACAGAAUGAAACAAAAGAGUAAAGUCAUAACCAGGAUAUGCACUAGCAGGAAUAGAUGGAGAUGUGCUCUCCCGAUCCCAUCUCCCUAUUGCAGGGAUAGAUGGAGACGAGCUCUCCUGAUCCCAUCUUCCUGUUUGCUUUACGAUGCUGAAGUCAAGACACGGUCAAGUGAAAACGGCCAGAUUCGGGCAUGUAUGUGGAGCAAAAGCUUCUAACCAACAGGUCUGGCUUCACUAGGAGACACAGGCUGAAGCAUGAAGGGGCUGAACGGGAUUCUGAGGUGUUUCAGUCUUGUAACGACACUAGAUUCCAUACAGAGACCUAGGAAAGUUCUGUGUUGAAAUGGAGUUUCUAAAAUAUGCUCAGAGCCUGUCUCCUUCAAGUAAUUUUUUGAGCCUUUCAAGUUGAUAUUUAUCUUGUGCCUAGCAUAAGAUCCGGUGCUGUGUUUUUUUGUUGUUGAGUGCUGUCAGGUUCUGUUUUAACUGUUCUCUGAUGACAGAGCAUCUUGAAACAUCAGGACAACGUUCAUAAAGGAAAAUCUAAAGAAAUCUGAGUAAUUUUUCCAUAAUCUGAGAGCCAGUAUGAAUGUGUGCUGUAUCCAUCUGAGCAGUUAACUCUCUGUGGGAGUCCUGAAAUUAGAUACGGAGACGAUGGUCUAUAGACAGGGCACCAGACAUAGUUACAGAGCCUCAGAAGGAAGUGUAGGAAUGAAAACUAGCAUUUAUACAUUUCUUUAGCAGUUUGCUCAAAGAAUUUAAUUAUAUUAAACUGUGGGGCUUGAAUGUAAUUUGGCUGGUUUUCAUUUUUAAAAUUCUUUUAAAUAUAUUUUUUAAACGUUUGUUAGAUUUUAGAUUUUCUUUUGUUUUUGAAACAGGAUCUUAAUGUGUAGCUCGGGCUGACUUGAAACUUGCUAUAUAUAUCAGGUGGCCCUCAAUAUUAACCUUCUGCCUUGACCUCCUGAGAACGAGUGCUGCGAUUACCUGCAGGAUAUGCUAGGGCAAUGAAGACACCAAGUUUGUGAGAGUAACCAACUAUCUGAUUUUGCUGAAGGCCCAUUCCACAAGAUGGAACCCAUACCCAAUGCUACUAGGGUGACCAAGAAUGUGAGACUGGAUAGCCCAGGGUCCUAUGGUAAAAUCAAAUACUACUGGUCUAAAAACAAAAACGAAACAUAGCAAGCAAAUGACUCAUAAGGGCAUUCUUCUAUACUCAUAGAUCAGUGCCUUGCUCAGCCAUCAUCAGAGAAGCUCCCUCCUGCAGCAGAUGGGAACAAAUGUAGAGAGACUCAAAGUCAGAUAGUAUGCACAGCGUGUGAGACUUUGGAGCACUCAGCCCUAAACAGGAUGUCUCCAUCAAAUCCCUCCCCUCGGUGCUCAGGGAACCCUGCUGAAGAGGAGUGUCCUCUGUAUGUAUAUUACAACUAACAAUUUAGUUUGUUUUUGUUUUUGUUUUUUUUUAUUUUAUGGGAUUCCAGAGAGUGUGAACAAGUGGGUCUCUGUCUCUUGUGCCUUUUCUUGGGCACUUUUCUUUUGUCUCCAAUUGUGAUGUGUAAGUUUUAAAAAUCUUAUUAUAUUAUAUUAUUAUCCCUUAAAAGCCUAUUUAUUUUAUAAUGAAAUACAGAAAGGGGGUGGAUCUGGGUAGAAGGGGAGGUGGGGGCGGAACUGGGAGAAGAAGGGGUAGAGGAAGCAGAAGCAGGAUAUAUCAUUCGAGGAGAAGAAUCUAUUUUCAAUGAAAGGAGAAAAUGAAAUUAGUUUUAUGUCAGGUAAAUGAGAAAAAUAAGACUUAUUGCUCAGCAUAAACAUCCAUGGCUAUAUAAAUCUCUUACACCAAAGGACUCAGUGUCACACCUAAACAUUUUUAACAAUAAAAUAUAAUAAAACAAAAAUUAUCACAUUGGAGUUGGACAAGAGAAACAAACAGAAAGAAGCAAGCCCAAGAGAAGGCACAAGAAUCAGAGCCCUAUUCAUUUGUACACUUGGGAAUCCUGUAAGAACACUGAACGAAAAUCCAUUGUGUGUGUGUGUCACACACAUGCACACACACACAGAGCAGCUGGUGCUGACAAGUGCAGGCCCUGUGCAUGCUACAUCAGUGUUUGUGAGUUCAGAUGACCUUAGAUCAUGUGGAUUCAGGGAAACUUGCUCUCUGGGUGUCUACCAUCCUCUCUGGCUCUUACACUCUUUCUGCCUCUUCUUCUGCAAUGUUCCCUGAGCUCUGAGGGGAGGGAUUUCAUGGAGACAUCCCAUUUAGGGCUUCCAACUUCUCUCAUCCUAUGACUGUGGGUCUCUGUAUUUGUUCCCAUCUGCUACAGGGGGAAGCUUCUCACAAGAUGGCCAAGCACGGCAUACAGAAGAACGGUCAGACCUCAAUUUUAAGCUCCACACUAUCACUUACUACUUAACUGGCCUAAGUCAGAUCUGCAUUUAAAUUAACUUAAAGAAAUCAGUAACCCCACUUUAUACAAACAAUAAAAAGGCUGAGAAAGAAGGUAGGAAGAUAAUACCCUUCACAAUAGCUGCACACGGAAAACCAAAAUACCCAGGAUAGCUAAAACAAUCGGAAUAAAAGAACCUCUGGAGGUAUCACUAGCCCUGACUUCAAGCGGUAUUACAGAGCAAUAGUAAUAAAAGCUGCUCGUGAAAGGGUGAAAAUUAUUACCUCUUAGGGGUCAUGGGGUGGCACCUGUAGGAAAUUCACUAUCUGGAGUGUGUAUAAUUGUGUGAGGCACACAUAUAUUUGUUUAUCUUUAUAAUGAAUAAGUAUAGACAGCUACUAUUUUCAUUCCCAUCUUUCAGAUAAGAAACAUGAGGCACAGAGGGUUUAAGCGACUUCCAGUACAGCCAGAAACAAUGGGGCCAGGAUUCAAGCCCAGGACACCCGGCAGAGGAACUUAUAAUAUAAAUCCUUAUGCCACACUCUUUUCAUGAGUAUGUUCAUAAAAUGUUGGUUCAUUGUUCAUUCAAUCUCUUUGUCCAAGGCAGGUGGGCUUAGGUAUAGACUCAAUUCUACCUAACCCUCGUCUGUCUUAGAUGCAGCCAAUAAUAGGGAAACCUGCUUCCAAAUCCCCACCUUCUGAGAAACUUCACAGGUUCUAGAAAGGUGAAUAAGUAAUCUUUUUAGAUUACUAAAUAAUUUUUAAUUGCUUAUGAAACCAAUUAGCCAAUAUGCCAUGUUUUGUAUGUAAUCAUAUACAUAAUCCGUAUCCAUGUUUAAACAUGGGCCAUGUUCCAGGUCUAAUGGGAGGACAGGAGAAUGUCGAACAUGUAGUGGUACACACACAUCACCAUGUUAAGCAGAAAAGUUCCCUGGGAAUGGUGAACUCGUACACAUGGCUCUGGAGAUGGGGAAUGAGAAGGAAACGGGACAUGUGGUAAUUAAGUGGGGAUUUGAACUCACAGUCCUGCCUGUCUUCUUGAGGAACCCACCACUAUGGCAAGGAAGCUCAUUGGCUCAGCAGUGCAGCCUUCCUGGGCAUUCUGUUCUCUAGCCACAGUUGCUUUCUGCCCUAACAUAGCAGGAGAGCAUGGGCUGUACUGAGGAGUGUUGUAAAGUCAGCUCUCUGGGUCCUGUAGGUUUUUAAAAUUAAGACUGGCUGAAAAAAAAAAAAAAACUAAUGACUUACCUUCUGUUGUGAGGCCCCUCUGGAUUAGACUGCCCCUCUGUUUCAUCUAUCAAUGCCUCCUGUCUUUGAAAAGGGUCAUUCUCAAAUCUUACUGCAGCUUCAUGCCUCCUAUAGCCUCAUCUACCUUUCUAUAAGCAGGAUUAGUCGGUUUUCACAAACCUAGCCUUGUGCAUUUUCUCUUCCUCUAGACUUCUAAACUCCAGCUUUCCUUCACAGCUGAAGUAGGGUAGAAAGUGGCUAGUUAGAGUUGACGGUGACUCAUAAGUUCAAUAACAGGAGAAAACAAGAGAAAGGUAGGAUCAGUGAUUUGGACAGGACAUCAAUACCAAACCCUGGCUCCACUAGCCAGCUCCUUGGACUCUUAGUUUCCAGACAGGCCCCCAAAGUAGAACUGUGACCUAAUGCGAGAGCAUUGAAGGCUUGGAUGCUAGAGGCCCUGUAGGAAGAGUGACUGGAUGAGUAGAUGUAUCCACAAGUGAACGCUUUCUGAGGCAAGAAUCCUUACUUUGGUAUCCUGGGGGGGUGGGGGUGGGGACACAGCAGAGCUCCUAAAUACGAGUUAGAUGGAUGGGUGAAUCGGCCUCAUUCACGGAUAUAUGAUGCUGCAUUUAAGGCCUGAAGGGUGAAUUCAUUAGAGACACUGAAACUCAAAGCAAGGUAUCAUUAAUGCUAGGCAGUGUACCAAACAGGAAAACUCUUGCUUUUGGGGGCCAGGCAGAGAGGUGGAGUUUUAGUGGCAGCAUUUAUUGGUCACAUGGUUACAGCAAGUCACUUCACUGGUUGGAGCCGAAAUGUCUUUAGAAAGAGAAGCAAAGAUAGUAACUGUCUGUCCUUCAAAGAGGCAUGAUGAUCGUCCCAGUGAAAACACGAAAGUGAAAUGCGGCUCAGUGCACAGCACCCACUGGGGUUGCGCGGAAGCAAGUGUGGUUUAGCGAGUGCUGCUCGUUUUGCUUACCGUUGGAAGAGGAGACAAGAUAAGCAGAUGGCCAAAUGAUACAAGGACUCAAGCCUACUGUUGUAGAGGUUGCAAAAGUGAAAGUGGAGCCUCAUGGCUGCCAGCUUGGCUCUUCUUCAGACAAGUCCUACAAAGACUGUAAGUGGCUUCCAAGGGGGCAGGUACUCGGUGCGAUGCUCUCUAAAGUGCGAAGGACAACAUCAUUACAUCUAGGGCAGCUGGACACAGCACUAGCAGUGGGCCCUGGCCACAGGCCGAUGAGGAGACAAGUCAGAGACCUGCUGUUAGGGCUCCUCACUCAGGGGUGCCAGAGAAUGAGUCUUCUGAAAAUCCUGACUCCAGAAAAAACCGACAAAUUACCAACAGAUGGGGUGAGUCACAGACGUGGAGUCCAAAUGAGGCAUCGGCACACAGCAGGCCCUGCCCUGCUGGGCUGAGCUGGACAGCCGCAGCUCUAGGCCCAGAUGGCUGCGAAGGUCACCAGGAGGGACACCAGCCGUAUGUGCUCUACUCCAGAGAACUGGCAAGCCUUCGAACCCACGGAAGCUUACGGGAUCAAAGAACCACAGCGUCCAAGACAGGGAAAAACAAAUUUCUUCUGAGCUAAUUGCUUACAAGGUGACAAGGACACACAGCUUCAAUGGUACGGAAGAAAAUGGAAGGACCAGGAAACUCACUCAGCUCACAGUCAGUCUCUGCUCUAAAGCUUGACUUAGAGCAAACCUCAGAAGAAUUUUCUGGCCUUCCCUCAGAGAAGAAAGCAGACCAAGAGGAUGGCAUUAUCUGCUAAAUAUGAAUGAUGAGCCCACGCUGCCGUGGUGGCCCGUUUGAUGUACACAGUCAAAAGCGGCAUCAUCUGUCUGUAGAGAGGGCUCUGCAGGUAAGAACUCUUGUUGCUAUUCUAGAGGACUGGGGCUAGGUUCUUAAUACACUUACCAGGUAGAGCAAAACCGCCUCUACCUAUUGUUCCAGAGGCUCCAAUUCCCUGUCCUGGCCUUUGAGGACACCUGCAUACAUGUCAUGAGUGCACAAAUAAAGAAGCACAUACACACAUACCUAUACCUAUACCUACACAUACAUAUACAUUCUUAACAUUUUUAAGUGACAUGUAGCACUGACAUUCAUUUCUAUGGUCCAGUGAGACUUAAAACAUUAAGUUUGAAAUACGAAGAUAAACAUUACAUAAUACUACAUCUUCCAACAAGUUAUAUUUCUCUUUGUAAGAAAAUGCCAAAUAAUCUGACAGAGAAUUGGUACAGGGGCGUUGUGAAAGGUUCAUAGGAACCUGUAACCUAGCAGCUGUGGAAACUCAAAGUCUAUGCAUAGGAACACACUACAUAAAAAGUCUCACAGCCAGUUAAACUAUAAGUCUCUUUAGACUAAUUCUUUAGCCUGGGAAGCGGGGGUUCAAACAUGAAUCAUGAGGUACAAAUACUUUUAGCUAUGUGUAGAGGCAUGGCUGUUUCUAUGUUCCCUAGGGGGCCUUUAAAGAGGGAUCCUCAGGUCAUACCUUGUCCCCACUAAAGGCAUGGAAUGUCCUUAGGACCACAUUCUGCUUGCUGAGGUUGAAGGCAUCCCAGUUUCCCCAACUGGCCCCAAAUCUGUGUUUCUGUCAUGACACCAGCAUCUUUGCCUGGUAUGUCUCUAAGCCAUGUUCCAUGUGGCUACUGAAGCAAUGUGGUCCUUUUACAGGGACUACAUAUUGAACUCUGAAAUGGGAAAAGAGCUGGUCUUUCAUAUGGAUGCGUUGAAAAGAGAAAGAACACAUUUUAAACAUCUCCACAAAUCUCUAGGGAAGCAACUGAGGGUUACUCUUCUGUUCCCCUGGAAAUGAUCGACUUGGAACAGACUAAUCAGCUAAAUGACAACUGCUUUUGCAUUUGGUAUGGGGACUCCUGUGGUCCCCUAAUUUGCAUGAAUGAAGCUGGUUUAGCUCUCACUAAUGCUGCUUAGCCUCUUCUUCCUGUAUCUCAGCUAUUCUCUCUUUCCUGGUGGACCACAAUGGCUGGAUGAUGCUUCCACCUGUCCAUAAUUGCCAGCAUACUCACUCCAUUGUCUUUGCGUCUAGACUUGGCAGCCAUGGAGCCUAGUGACAGCUAAUGCCUUAGAUAGCUAAAUUUCCUCCUCUAAUUGGAAUAAAUAUUGGCUAUCAUAUUCAAGAAUAGUCCCAUUUGUGUAUAACUUGGAAUGUUACAGAGAGAGAGAGAGAGAGAGAGAGAGAGAGAGAGAGAGAGAGAGAGAGAGAGAGAGAGAGAGAGAGAAGAAAGAGAAGAAGAAGAAGAAGAAGAAGAAGAAGAAGAAGAAGAAGAAGAGGAGGAGGAGGAGGAGGAGGAGGAGGAGGAGGAGGAGGAGGAGGAGGAGGAGGAGGAGGAGGAGGAGGAGAGAAGAGAAGAGAGGAGAAGAGAGAAGAGGGAAGAAGAGAGGAAAAGAGGGGAGAGGAGGGGAGAGGAAGGGAGAGCGGGGAGAGGCUGCUAUCUCAGUCUCCCGUGGGGUUUUAAAUAGUCCUAGGAGGUUAUCAGGAAAAGAAAAUUAGGAGAAAACCAAAGCUAAGAGGUAGAACAGAGUUUUUCCAAACAUGUUCUAAGGAGUCUUUGGGGCUUUUGUAGAGGUACUAACGCUUUAGAGGGGAGAACCAAGAGUAAUGUCACUUUAUUUUACAGGUGAGCUUAUAUCCACCUUAAAAUAUCGCUUCAAGAAAGACUUCAAUACUGAAAAGUGACUAAAGUUGUCUGUCAUGAUGCAGGCCAAGUACCUGAAAGCAGAGACAGGAAAAUCACUGUGAGUUCAAGGCCAGCCUGAGCCACACAGUGAGUUUUCCAGUAUAAUGUAGAGGACCUUAAAUGCAUUAUGUUAGAGAACAUGGCUUUGAGACGCAUGUCUGACAGGGACUAAGAUGGCUAACCCUAGAACUGGAAAUCUUUGAGUCAGGAGACAGAGAGUAAGUAGAAAGUGGUGAGAGGAGAGACACCAUGGGAGAGGUAAGUGGAUCAUGAAAACAUGAUCAUGGGGGCUGCCCAGCUGAAGUUAAUAGCCCAGCUGGAACAUGGCAAGUUAUAACUUGGAGUUAUUGAUAGAAAAUAGACAUAAUAGCUUAGUGGUUAGAUAUCUGCCCAGCUCUAGUGCAUUAAAGGCUUAUUAUAAAUAUAAAAUCUGCAUGUCUUUUAUCUGAGAACUGAAUAAGCAAAGGCAGGGGAGAAACCCAGAAUGAGAUUAAAUAUUUAAUACAACAUGUGUCAAUUCGGAGGAUCAAACAUUGAAUAGUGAAUAAAAUUAAACUACUUAUAUCUGUUAGCUCCAGAAACCCAUGCAGAGAUUUAAAAAAUGAUUUAGAGAUAUUCACAACAGUUUUUAAAUUGUUUGAACAAUUAUUUAGUACAAGGAAAGGACAGAUAUAAAUGAAAUAGUUAGCAGGAUCUAGAACUGUCAUUUCGAAGCACGACUCAACAGGCCAUACUACCACAGCAUGUGCCUAAGUCAAGCACAUAGGUAAAUGUUGAAACAUGAAGACUCAGAAAGUAAGAACAGGGUUCCUCUCAGCAGCGCUACCUGAAUUUACCAGCAAUUCCAAACUAUCUCUUUUCAGCUGGUGUUUGCUAUAAGGGAUUUGUUUAAAAUCUCUUCUUUUCAAUUUACAGAAUUAAGGUCUUUUUUGGGGGGAGGGGAACUGGAGAGAUGGCUCAGCAGUUUACUGAUCUACUGGAGGACCAGAGUUUGAUUCCUGUGAUCCACAUUGGGUGACGAACUCUAGCUACAGGGGUUCUGAUGUCCUCUUCUGGCCUCCGUGGGUACACCUAUGCAUUCGACAUAUAGUCACCCACAUACAUAUAAAUAAAAGUGUAUUCUUUAAAAAUAUAGUUUCUUAAUCACAGAUGUUCUCUUAAAAAGCAAAAGCCCAAUGUUGUUUUAUUAAAUAUAAUACAGUUAGAAAAUCUAAUAGGACAAAACAGAAACAGUCGAAUGAUAUCUGUGCACACAUGUGUAUGCAUGUGUGUUCAUGUGUAAUUAUUUUCAUGUGCAUUUGUUCUCUUAGAUGAACUUAGAUGUAGCAAGUUCUCUUCCAGCUGGGCUCUUCCCAGACCUUGGGCUGUGUUAGUUGGUGUCAUACAUUGGAGUUUGGGGACAGAAUCAUGGAGACCAACUCUCAAAAAUUGUAUUGAUUAUUAAAACUCUCUCUCUUCCCCUUCUCUCUCAAUCUCUCUCUCUCUCUCUCUCUCUCUCUCUCUCUCUCUCUCUCUCUCUGUGUGUGUGUGUGUGCGUGCAUGUGCAAAGUUCGUGUUGUGGAAGAGUACAUGUGCUGUGCCGUGGAGUAUGUAUAGAUGUCACAUGAUAACACUGUGGAGUCCGUUCUCCAUUUCUACCAUUACAUGGGUUCUGGCAAUUAAACUCCAGUAUCGGGCUUGAGCCCCGAGAACUUUUGCCCUUUCAGCCAUCUUUCCAGCUCAAGACCGAUUUUAAGAGUACUCCAAGUACUGAUCUGUAUGAAAAGCCUGAUUCUCACUACAUGCAUAUUUUCUAAGUUGACUAGCCUAGCCAUUCUAUUAUCAAAUAAUUCUUUCUUUGGAGAAAAGAAGUCUAAUAACAAUGUAGAGAUGUAAUAAAGAAUCAUGCCUAGUUUUAGAGCCUUUAUUCUCACCGAGUUAAUAAUUUUAGACAUUAGCUAACCGAGCUGUUUAAGCCUUAUUAUUUUUAAACUCUGUAUGUGUGUGGGCAUUUGUGCCAAUGGAGGCUGAAGGCUUUGGAUCCUCUCAGAUCAACUUACAGGAGGUUUUGAGCAUUCUGAUGUGAUGCUUGAAACCAUGCUAGGAUCUGCUGCCCUCUUAACUGUCGAGCCAUCUCUGCAGCCCCCUGAUUAAUAGUUUGGCCUUUUAUUCUACUUACUUCUCAAUGUUGUAGUUUAAAAGCCGCAAAUUAAAUAUGAAUUCUUGUCAUAAUCUUUACAAAGCUUUUUUUUUCUUUCCAUUUUUUAUUAGGUAUUUCGCUCAUUUACAUUUGCAAUGCUAUACCAAAAGUCCCCCAUAGCCACCCACCCCCUCUCCCCUACCCACCCACUCCCCUUUUAUGGCCCUGGCGUUCCCCUGUACUGGGGCAUAUAAAGUUUGCGUGUCCAAUGGGCCUCUCUUUCCAGUGAUGGCCGACUAGGCCAUCUUUUGAUGCAUAUGCAGCUAGAGUCAAGAGCUCCGGGGUACUGGUUAGUUCAUAAUGUUGUUCCACCUAUAGGGUUGCAGAUCCCUUUAGCUUCUUUGGUACUUUCUCUAGCUCCUUCAUUGGGGGCCAUGUGAUCCAUCCAAUAGCCGACUGUGAGCAUCCACUUCUAUGUUUGCUAGGCCCAGGCAUACUCUGACAAGAGACAGCUAUAUCAGGGUCCUUUCAGCAUAAUCUUGCUAGUGUAUGCAAUGGUGUCAGCAUUUGGAAGCUGAUUAUGGGAUGGAUCCCCGGAUAUGCUAGUGUCUACAUGGUCCAUCCUUUUAUCUCAGCUCCAAACUUUGUCUCUGUAACUCCUUCCAAGGGUGUUUUGUUCCCACUUCUAAGGAGGGGCAUAGUGUUCACACUUCAGUCUUCAUUUUUCUUGAGUUUCAUGUGUUUAGGAAAUUGUAUCUUAUAUCUUUUACAAAGCUUUUUACUUGGGAAGGCAAUGACAGUAUUACUUCCUGGUGAGAAAAAAAGUAGCAUUCAUUCAUUCAUUCAUUCAUUCAUUCAUUUUGUUUGUUUAGUGAACAAACCUUCCUGCCAGUCCAGCAUUAUUUCAGUCCAAGAGAGACAAGACCCUUAUAUUGGCUGCUUCAUAUCCCCUUUCUUAUGAUAUCUAAGCCAUAAACCUGAUUAUCUAUAAAGAAGAGAGCAUCAGUGCUUAGGCAAGGAGGGAAACACAACUAGAAAAACAUGAAGAUAAAGGGAGACUGGAAAAGCCACCUUUCAGCAUGAAGAAAGAAGGUAUUCAACAGGAGGUGGGUGAAGGCUCCACCCAUCAGGGAUGACAUCUUGGCAAAGACAUAGAAAAUACGAGGUGGGUAGGAAAUGGUUGCAUUUGCCAAGAACAGGACAGACCUUGGAUAAAUUAAUGAAUCGCAAGAAGUUUGAGUAGGGCCCUAUGAAUUAUUAAAAGGUCUUGAGGCAGACGAUAGAUUUAGAGAUGUAACCUCAGAAGAUUAAUCUGGCUACAACACACAGAAACAUUAAGUGGGGACAUGGAAAAAGCAAGGAGCCAGAUGGGAACACACUACUGCCAUCUAAGGAAUGGGCACCGGGGACAUGAGGCCAGGGUCAGGAAGAAUGACUCAGAAGAACCAGAAACCGCUGAAGACAAACAUCAUUAGAGCAUCGAGGGAAGGAAAAGGAAGGAAAGUUUACUGAGGACCUUGCAUGCACACAGCACUACACUCAGGAUGGAAACCGCUGCUUGACUUUCAAACAGUUCAAAUUUAAGUCUUGUUUUGGCCAUGGGAUAAUUACCAAUAACAGUCACUUUCAACCUCAAUGUGUGAUAAUAUAUUAAAAGACCCAAUUAAUUAAUUAACUAACUUGUUAACUAAUUAAUCAAUUGCAGUAUUGGGAAUAGAAUGUGACAUGGUAGGCAAGUGCUCUGCCACUGAGCUACACCUCAAUCCCACACAUUCAUAUUCUAUAACAUUCAUUCCCUCUUUUGUUGUCUACAAAAUGAGCCACCAGUUGACACAUCAAGAAGCUGAGGCUCUAAUGGGUGAGUUAUAUAAUGGUGUGUGACUGGUAGGUGGUUGAUGUGAGAUUCGAACCCAAAUCUAUGUUCUUCCUAAAUCUAUGGACUGUCUAUCAGUGACUACAUAGGUGGCUGGCUGUAACCUGUAGCAAAUACAGACAUCAGAAGGAACACAUGUGGGGGGAGGGGGAGCAUCGUGGUUGCAUGUGUGUUCUCUAAGGCGCUGGAGGGCCACUGCAGCAGUUGUAGACACUGGAUGCUGAUCAGGAGUGAAGUCACACUCUUGGGAUAGUUGUGUAAGCUUUCUAUAUGAAUGAAUGUAGGAUCUGAAACUCUGGGAUCAAAUAAUGUCACCACACAUGAGACACAGGACAAAGGUCAUGGCUUUGAUGCCUGCAGGAGCCGGGCACAUGAAGGAUGCAGGAAGAGACAUUGGGAAGGGCAAGGAAGAUGUGGCUAUGAGAAUAAGCAUAUAUUUUUUUCUGGAAAUUAUCUACACUUUGAGACGGAAAUAAUACAUGUACAGAAAUAAUGGCCUAUCUCGUUUAGUUAUUUAUUUUUUGGACAAGAUAUUACUGUGUCUCCAGCUCUAAGUUCCCAUAAUCCUCCUGCCUCAGCCUCUCACAUUCUAAAAUUAUAGGUACAUAGACAAUGUCCAGCAUUAGCACAAUUUGAAAAUAUUUUUUUACAUUUAUUUAUUUAGUGAAUGUGUAUGUGCAUGUAGCAUACUACAACAUGCAUGCCACAGACAGAGCCUGUGACCAGAGGACAACUUGAAGGAGUUGGUUCUCUCCUUCUACAUGAGUUCUAGGAACAGAACUCAGGUCAUCAAGUAUGGUGGCCAAUGCCCUUAUCUCAUGCACCACUUUGUAUACCCAGUAGCUCAUUUCUUUUUUUCUUUUUCUUUUUUUUUUAAUCACAGCUAGAAUAUUUUCUGAUAAUUCAAUUGAAAAUAAAAUUAUAAUUUAUUUAAUUUUUUAAAAGAUUUAUUUAUUUUAUAUGAAUACACUGUAGCUGUCUUCACACACAAGAGAAGAGGGCGUCAGAUCCCAUUACAGAUGGUUGUGAGCCACCUUGUGGUUGCUGGGAAUUGAACUCAGGACCCUCUGGAAGAGCAGUCAGUGCUCUUAACCACUGAGCCAGCUCUCCAGCCUCAAUUUAUUUAUUUAAGAUAUUUUGUUAGAGAGAAGACUUAUUAAUAAACUAGAACAUUCUAAGCCACAUUCAAUCAAUUUUUGCCCUAUUUUUUUAUCCUAGGAGACACAGAAUUAAAGACAUCAACAUCACUAGCAUCUUCCAGGUGUGGCAAGACAAAGGGCAGUGUUUUCAUUGUUCAAGAAUAAACAAUGUGUCUCAAAUGAUGUCGCCAUGAACUCUGAAGGGGGAGGGAAAGGAACCUGGAGAUGGAGGAACAAAGGAGGGGGAGCAUUUAAAAGGCAACACCCAGGCUGGCUAUGGUGCUUCAUGUCUGCCAUCCAGCACCUAGGAAACAAAGGAAGAUGGCUGAGUUCAAGGCUAGCCUGGGUCUCAUAGUUUAGUUUCAGGGAAACCAAUAGAUAAAUAAAUAACAAUAGUCUCAGAUUUAAAACUUGUUUACUUUAGAAAAGGGUUCCUUGUUUACCAUGACUUGAAUUACAAGUCUUGCCAUUGCUUCAUACUUUAAGCUGAAAGACAUUAAGCACCUGUCAGUCAAAGAUUCUCAAACGCAGGCCUAAGUGCCCAGAUCCUCAUGGCAACAGCCUAAAUAGCUGGGUCACAUCUUAGAACCUUCUGAUGGAAUUGGUCAGGGAUGGGCCCUGAGGACAUCUAUCUCUAACCAGUGACCGGGAAAUGUGAUGCUCCUGGUCCAGGCACCUCACUCCCAGAGCCACUGGUUACACUGCAGGCUGUGUGUAAGGCACGCUGUCUGCUGCUGUGUGCAGAGCGACAAUGGAGCACAAGCAUGCACCAAGGCUGGUUUCUCAUGGCACUCUGGAAAAUGAUUCAACGGCAUGACUUGUGAGAGAGGUCCAACUUUUUGCCUCAUUGUCUGUGUUCUGAAUCCAACCUAGUUUAAUAUUUUGGAAAAUGUUACCCCUUUCGGUCCUGAGCAAAGUAAAUAUUUGGUCAGUUGUUAAGGAUGAACUGCAGAGCGAGACCUAAGGCUGACGAUGUAUCCAAAUUCAGCAGGAGGCUAAGGAUGUAUCCAAAUUCAGCAGGAAGGCUGGGCGCUGCUUUGCAGCUUUCUCCAGACUGUGAUUUGUAAUGGCCUUCAGGAGCCAGCAGAAAUACCAACCACUUGAUCUAUUAAGAAAGGCUGAAUGGACCUUUUCACAGCAGAAUAUAUUUUUUCCACACUGACUCUUCAUUACACUUGGCAGUGGAAGGAGAAAGGAGAGACGGAAUACUUUUCUGUCAGGAGUAUUCUAUAUGGGCAUUGUUCUCAGAUGAAUAACCCAGGAGCAGCAACUUUCAAAUUGGAAGAAAAAUUUUAACAACCCAUGUGGUUUGACAAUCGACACAACUAGGGUCCAGGGAAGGUCAAUGCCAUUUACCGGGAAACCAGAUGGUUACCGAAUUGGAACCACAAUAAAAUGCAGAUGCUCUUGACCCUCGACUAACAGUUUUCUUACCAUAGCUCACAAGUUCUCAGAGAUAAGAAUAACGAUGAGUUGGGUCCUUGAGGUGUCUCAGCAGGUCAAGCUGCUUGCAACUAAGCCUUACAGCCUGAGUUUUAUCCCUGGGGUGUGGAUACAUGGCAGAAGGAAAGAACAAAAUCCCACAAGUGUUCCUCUGACCUUAACAUGCAUGAACAUGCACACAAGCACACAUAUACACAAGGACCCCUGCUCACACACAUGUACAACACACACACACACACACAAUAAAUUUUUUUUUUUUUGGUUUUUCGAGACAGGGUUUCUCUGUGUAGUCCUGGCUGUCCUGUAACUCACUUUGAAGACCAGGCUGGCCUCGAACUCAGAAAUCCGCCUGCCUCUGCCUCCCGAGUGCUGGGAUUAAAGGCGUGUGCCACCACACCUGGCAAUCAAUUUUAAUAGAGUAAUGAAUUGGUUUUAAAAAUGAAAUCUCAAUUCUAUUGUAUAGUUUAUGCAGCACAUUUCCUGCUAAUGACUAACCCAAUGGGUUGUAAAUGCAGAGGGAGUUCACAGGAGUCCUGGGGAGACCUUUUCUCCUGUCUAAGCAUUUUUCUAAUGUAUUCUUUACUGUGAUGAUUCAGACCUCCUCCUACUAGGUGGCUGAGAAGUAUAGAAAUAGAUUCCCAACUAUAAUGAAAUUUACAUUUUGUCAAGAAAUCAUCUAGGGAAAUGGUAUGGGUUUUAUAUGUCUUCAGCACUGGAGUCAUUGAAGGAAAACUGGGACCCCAUAAGGCCCACUGAGUUGGAGCCCUGUAAAUGACAAGAUUUUGUUGGAUUACCUGUGAUGGGUAAUCUUGGCCGUCAGCUUUAGCACAUUUGGGAAGGGAGACCUUCAUCUGAGGAACAGACUUUAUCAGAUUUGCCUGUGGGUGUGUCUGGGGCCUCUUAAUUGCUAAUUGAUGGAGGAGAACCCAGCCUAUUAUGGGUAGUGCCGUCUGGAGGACAGUGGGUCUGGACAGCUCAAGGAACAUAGCUAAAAGGGAAUCGAGGAACAAGUCAGUAGACACUGCUUCUCCAGGUGUCUACUCCAGUCUCUGCUUGAGUUCUUGCCCUAACCCGUCAGUGAGCCAGUUGUAUUCUGAAAUAACCCCCUUCCUUCUCUACUUGCUUUUGGUCAAUGUUUGAUCACAGUAGCAAAGCACUAACUAGAGCAGACCAUCAGUUGGUAUAGUGACCAGAAGAACAGAGACCUGGCCCGUUAACCCUGCUCUGUCUUGCCAUGUGGUUCUCUCUGACAGUCUACUGCCAUAGGUUUGGACUUGUCAGCUUCCACGGACAUGAGCUUAAUAAACCUCUCUUCUUUAUAAGUUAUUUGCUCUACGAUAUUCAGCUUUAGCAACAGAAAAUUGACUAGGACAGGGAACAUAUCUAGGGAGUAAGGAGUAUUACCACAAGGGAUAUUAGACACAUUUGGUCCUCUUGUUACUCUUUUCAUUUCCAACUUGAUAGCUAGAAAGAAUCCUCUGCCUUGUUACAGAGGGAUAAGAUGGGGUGAGAGCCUUAAAGCCAUUGCCUCGGAAUUGAAACACUCCCUCCAGGAGAAGGGUGCAGGGAGGCUCAUGAAACUCAAGAUGUAGACAAACUCCGAAUGUCUAAGAAGGCUGAGGCCUAGAGGCAUCAUCAGGGCCGUUGAACCGUUAUAGAAGAGGCUUAUGAGUGUUGCGGGAGGAGACUGACGAGAAGAUGUGGCAGAGUGGCUUCUCCAACUUGUCAGCCUGUCAAGCUGUCUGCCAGUCAUGCAAAGAGCUAGAGCUCUUUCCCUAGAGGGAUGCAGCUUGUGUGAAUGCUCAACCACGUUGGGGUGGGCUUUUAUAUAAGGCCAUUGCAUUUGAGACAUCUCUGUUCCUGUCAGUAGCCCCUCACUCAUACUCCUCUAUUCAACCUCAACAAAAACUAACUGGUUCACUAAGUUGGAUGUUAGUAGAAUUGUGGGUUUGGUCUGUCACAGGUUCCCAAUGUGGGGUGAGCUGACAUUACGCAUUACGGUUCCCCAGGAAAGGUGUCCCGCAACAAGGAUUGGAUUAAAGAUGUAGAAUUUUAAACAUCGGCUCAAGACAUGAAAGAACCCUGGAAAAAAAUGAGAGGCGUCCAAAAGUGAGUGUCCUGCAGUUAAGAGGAGACACGCUUGACAGAUGACCAGAGAGAGGGCCCAUAACACCAAAAGUGAGCAGGGGCUGGCAUGAAAAACCUGUCAGCAUUUUCUUCAGGCUCCAUCAGGCAUUAGUGAGAGUUGAGAAUGUUGCAUGGGUGGCCAAAUAGGAGCCAAAGAUCUGUUCUUAGGUCAAACAUGGCUUUUAAUUCAGAUUCUUACAUUUGCUGCUGAUGUGACUUUAGGUUUCCAGGUAACCUCUACAUGUCUCGCUGUCAUUACCUGCACCAUAGCGAUGAUAAAAAGUAACUCUUCAGUUUGUUGAUUCAUCCUCUAGGUGCUUAUAAAGCAUCCAUCAUGGGUGUGACAUUUUUCAAGAUGCCGGGUGGUGGUGGAGACAGCUAAGAUCUCUGCUCUUCAUGGAUCCGCACUUCAGAGUGUGCAGAGGGAUUCAGAAAACAUGCAAAUGUGAUGAAUAAAUUCAUGGACAGCAAUUAAUGAUGAGAAGCAGAUGAAUCAGUAUCUCUCAGAAGAUUUAUAUAAAUGAAAACCUGUGACAUAAGGGCCAGCUUCGAGCACUCUGGUGAGGAGCAGUAGAAUCCUGGUGACCAUAAUUCCCUGCCCCUGCUGCCCUGGGGUGUCCUGAGUGGAAAUGAGUAUUUCAAGGCACAGCUGGUGGUAAGGGUUAAAGGUAAGGAGGCAGGGAGAAUGAUUGACACCAUAGUUUAUGCUACAAAGGAAGUCCUCUGUAAGAGGACUCACUGAGUCAUUACUCAUGAUUUUCAAAGCCUUCAUGAUUAAUUAGUGUCCUCUGUAAAGUAAACUCAGACAUAAGCCAUUGCUCUUCUGACCUGUGACACCCACGUCCAGACCUUGCUACGUGGGAAGGAAAGGCUUCCUGCCACUUGGUUUGUCCCACCUGUUCAACACGACCCUGGCACAACUGAACAUUAACAAGCAGAGCAUGCAGACUGUAGAGCUGGAAAUGAAGUUGGUCUGGGGGGAUUUGCAUGUCAUGACUAGAGGUUUGAAGGUUUCUUGGAGGAGCCUUAGGAGUACUGAGGGACAGAAGAUUAGGGAAGGGGGCAGGCAGGAAUCCAGGCCUUGGGCUCAUGCUUCAAGAAAGUGAGCUCCAAAGAUAGCUAGUUUGUUUUAUUUUUCACUGGAACACUGAGUUGUACUGAAAACACACACACACACACACACACACACACACACACACACACACACACAAACUGAGAGUCACUACUUGACCAUCAAGCUUGACCAAGGUCAUUAGUUAACCAAAAGUGACUUGAAACUCUCAUGUCUCCUGACUCUGUUGCAGGACUUUCUCCAUGUGCUUUCUGACAUGUCUAUCCUGCUGCUGAUAGAUAGGGAACUUCUGCUGGACUCUGUGUUGCUCAGUGUGCACUGCCUUUCAUAGAAGUAUGUAUCUGAGUUCCGGUGCGCUCAGAAGCCCACUUAUAGUCCAUUCGUUUUUACAACAAAUGAAAGACUUGCUUCCAGUGGCUUGUGGUUCCUAGAGGCCUCCUCUGCUUGGAAUCAGGCGAUGUUUCAGUUAGAGUCUCUGAAACAUUUGAAGGAAUAAGUAAUUUACAAGCUAAUUACAAAAAAAGUUGACUUCCUUUUAUUCCCACUUGUGGAGUAAGUAAAGUUAAAAAUGGAGAGAGAUACCUACAGAAGCUGAGGUAAUAAAGCAGCAGUAGUUUAUGAAUGUAAGAACAGACAUAAUUUUCAAAUGUAGGGAAUGAAUAAGGGGUCCUCCCAACAGAACCACUAACUCUAGAAUAUGGAAAUAAUUGAUGGUCUCUUUAAACUCAAGUUUAGUGGAUUCUAUCAUUUAAUAAUUCAUAGUUACAACUUAAUACUCGUGUUCUUUGGAAUAUUGUUCAACCGUAGGAAAGAAAUCUGUGGAAACAGAGAUUUGUAAAUGCAUGUGAUGAGCUAACUUUAAAAAUCUAAUUAUCAGCAAUAAAUUUAACACAAUACUUCUUAAAGCUUCAGAAGCAGAUUUAGAGAGAUGAUGAACUCUGCAAAGAUUUGAAAAGGCUUAUGUUACACACUUGCAUUAGGGAAGUAAGGCAAGAGGUUUGGGUCACAUGGCAACAAUUCUCCUGGUUAGAAAGACCGUUAGGAUGGAGGAAACACAUCUCUCUGUGCUUUGGAUCACAGAAAGGAAUUCUGACAUCUUAACAGGUGCUCUACCCUGUACCCAAGCUUAGCUGCCUACGGUUGUCCAUUUAUCCUCUUUUGGUGACUUGGUGGUAGCAGCUAGAGCAGGGAUAUUUUCACAUUCAAGUUACCCUCAGAAAGGCUAGCAGGUUCUUCUCAAGGGAGAAUAAAGAUGUUCCCAAGCAUCCUCCCACUACACUGGAAAGCAAACUCCCACAGAAGACCACCCACAUUACUACGUCCUCGCUCUGUGCUCAUUUCAGCUUCAUAAGAGCAGUGAAUUUACAAACAAGGAGUUCCGAUUAGCACCAUACACAUUAGAAAAGGUAGAGGCUGAAGAAAGCUGUGCUUCCUCCAUCCUAGGCUAGGGGUGUGGAGAGUGCAGCUUCAUGACAGGCAGAGAGGAAUGUGGAUCAGGGUAGCCCUGCCCAAACAUAGUUUGCUAGGUGGGCUUAUAACAUUGAAUUAUAAAUGUGGUUAGACCAUGUGGCCAGCAAUCCCACUUUUGGGAAUAUAUCUCAAAUAGCCAAAUGCAUGAGAAAAGUUUCAUACAUAAAGAUCUUUAAAAAUCACAAUUUUAGAAUGGGUAAAUUCUAAAUAUUUCAUUCUAGCCAAUGAAAGAUGUUUGGAUAACAAGAACUCAAUAGAGUAAGAAUUCUAUCAUUUAAUAACUCAGAUUUACAAUUUAAUACUCGUCUCUUUUGGAAUAUCAUUCAACCACAGGAAAGGAAUCUGUGGAAACACAGAGAGAGUAAAAUAUAUGUGAUGAGCUAAAUUUAAAAAGUCAAUUAGCAGCAGUAAAUUUAACACAAUACUUUGCAGCAAAAGCAAGUGGAAGUAUCCAGAAGGAAGCAGAGAAGAUGGCCACAAUGACGGAACAGUAGGCAACAGUGCCUUUUUCUUGAUUUUCUUAUAAGUGGUCCUAUUUCCUUUUCAAUAGUAAUUAUAAAGAACAAGAAGAGAGACACUGAAAAUCCACAGCAGUAGAACGAGGAGAAAAAAAAUUAGAGUUAAGGAAAGCUUAAGUACACUUGGGAACUUUUUAUGGGAAAUUGCUUUUGUUAUAUUUGGUUAAUAGUAAUGAUUUGUUAAUUCAAUAAACUAGUUUAUUUUAGAUGGGGACUUAGAAAGGUUCCAAAUCAGAAAUUUACUGCUUUCCCUCCCACCCCACCCCCACCCCGCCAAGGAGGUCUUCAGAGUUUCGCAUAAAGGAGGGUUCCUCUGUAAACAUACUAAAGGAACACCUAAAAAUGAUUCACGCUGAAAGCAAAUAACAAAAUAGACCUACAAAGUCCAGACCAACUGGUUGGAGAGCGCUCAAACACCCGCUAGCACAGCAAAAGUACUUUGGUACUCUUCAGGCAACUGAAAAACAACCUGAUAUUCUGGCAUCUCCACCACGAUGGGGUACCUGCUUUCUUCUGCAGUUGAUGAGACAGAGAGGGAAAGGGAGCUGAAGGUGGGAGAGGUUGCUAAGUCUGAGAGCGCGGGUGGGGGUGGGGGGUGUUCACUGUGGGUGGGGGAGAGUACUCUGUGAGAGAGGGUGAGAGGGUUUCCAGUAUCUUGAGGUCCCCAUCCCCAUCCCCAGCUAAGUACCAAGUCCAGCUGACCUGAUUUGGCUCACCCAGGUCAAAUGAGACUGGGACUCAGACACCCACCUGAGAAAACAUGCUGGGGUUGCUUGAGUUUAGAUAGUUUGGGAGUUUAUGCCUUGUUUCAAGGUAACAAUUUUUAAAAGCCUUCCUUAAACAGCACUGGUUCCUGGACUCCUCUUCUGUCUUGAAACAAGCACAGAUGGAAUUGAGCUUGCCCUUCCUCAUGGUGCUCUGUGUCUUCCAUGGAGGUUGUCAUCCAACUUCUGGCCCUGGGUGGUCAGCUGAUACCAGGGGGUGCUGGCUGUACUGAAGGAGGUUCACUGCUAAAUACUAUAUGCCUCCAGAAUGAGACCUCUGCAUUCAACCUAAUCUAUACCAUCAAUCCCAGAUCCUCUGUUUCCCUGAGAGUGUUUCCCCAUAUCCCCUUCCAUGGGAAUUCUUAACUGCAGGCAGGAGACACUGCCUCUGACUCUGGAUAUCAUUGAAAUAACAACCAGAAAGCUGGGAUUAUAGGAUGUAAUGAACUCUGAAGUCUUAAACUCCCAAAGUACUGCCAACAUGAUAGCUAGACGUUCUGCAGCAGGAGCCAAGCAAGUACCCUACUAACAAACCGUUUCAAACUUUGUGUUAGAAAAAAAAAUAUAUAUAUACACAUAAUUAAUAACAGGUAUAAACGCAUUUCAAUCUACUGCCUAGUGACAAGUCACUGGUGGCUGCUCUAGUGCUUUACCACUAAUGAGUCUUCUGAUGCUGCGUGAGCUGCUGUCAUUAGUGGUAAGCUAUCUGUAAAAUUCUAAACCUCAUUAGAGGCUCUCUCCUCUGUGGUUCUUCCUGCCUCCCAUGUUGCUUGAGUCCCUAUCAGUAGUGGCCACUUCCUCUCACCUGUUCCCUUGGACAUGGAAAUGACAUAGGCAGGGAAGCCUUGACCACUGCUAGCAAACCUCAGCUGAGUCCCUCUGCAUUGCAGGGUGGAGCCCUCUCCACCUGUGAGCCGGCCUUGCUAUUCCCGCUCUAUCCUCCACUGUUCUGAUGUCUCAGAUGAGGCAAAGCACAGAACCGAAGGCAUCCUGACAACAUCAGACAAAAUCUUUGCUGAAAAGGAUCUCCAAGAACAGAUCUUGCCCUGCUGCUAAACAUCAAUUCAGCUUGCCCAGUCUCCGUGGUAACAGAGAAGAAUCCUCCAGGAACACAAUGCAACUCAGAGAAACCCAGAAAAGCCUGACUCCACUGGUGUUCCUAUCAAAGAGCUUGAAAGCAGACAUAUCAGAACUCCAGAUAGAAUGAGCAAAAGGAGGAGUCUCCUGAAGGGCUGGGGUGAGCAACAAGAAACUGCCAGUCUUCCUGCUUCCUACCAAGCUGCAGCUCAACAAAGGAGACUUAUGCAUCAGCGUUGGAGCAAGUUACAUGUCCAUCAGAAAGACUUAAGGCCAGGGGGCCUUAGAGAUGAGAUCACCAAAUGAUAACUGCUCUUUAAUUAAAAUUUGAUUCCUGCAAUCAUGCCUUCAUCUCUGCAUCAUCUGGCUGUUCUUGCUUUAUAACUGGACUGGAGAGUCAGGAAAGAGACUGUGUGGCCUGAGAAGCUUGAAGCAUUUAGUAUCUGGUCUU